rnacentral:rRNA from 1 species
UACAGGGGGUGCAAACGUUGCUCGGAAUUACUGGGCGUAAAGGGCUCGUAGGCGGCCAACUAAGUCGGAUGUGAAAUCCCCAGGCUCAACUUGGGAACUGCAUCCGAUACUGGAUGGCUUGAAUUCGGGAGAGGGAUGCAGAAUUCCAGGUGUAGCGGUGAAAUGCGUAGAUAUCUGGAGGAAUACCGGUGGCGAAGGCGGCAUCCUGGACCGACACUGACGCUCAUGCACGAAAGCGUGGGGAGCAAACAGG